rnacentral:tRNA from 1 species
CUGGGUGUGGCGCAGUUUGGUAGCGCGCUACCUUGGGGUGGUAGAGGCCGCUGGUUCAACUCCAGUCACUCAGACCA